UAACCCAGAAGUGAUACCCAAAAUAUAACAUUGAAAAUAAUGAAAAACAAUAAAUAUUAAGUUAAGGCGGGCCGCAUAGACCCACCCUAACCUUUAACGCGGGCCGCAAUAAGGUGUAACCGGACUCCGCUGGAAUCUUUAGUUCAUGCGGGCCGCGUAAGAUAUCGUUAAGUUAACGCGGGCCGCGAGAGAUCGAAGUUGUGGCGCAGCCCGGUGAUGACACGUGUCAUCAUCGUGGCGGGUCUAGGGGGUGAGCCGGACAAGCUAGUCCGUUGACCGGGAUUGACGCGGGCCGCAUAAUCCCUGUCCAUUCUUUACGCGGGCCGCGUGGGAACCAGUUUCAGCAACUAUAUAAGGAACGCAGCGGAUUUCAAUUCAGUUCGUUCAUUUCUCAAUUCUCAAAUGACAAUUUCUGUAGUAGGCUUAUUAUACUCGGGUAUUAUACCCCCUAAUUAGCGAAGCUCUGCCUCGUUAUUAUAACCAGGAAGCCACAAAGGAAAUACCUAAAAUAGCAAUGUAAUACAAUGUGAAAGCCAAUUAGAAUAAAGCCAGCUCGAGAGCACUUACGGCUUGGAAAAAUGUGGCUAUAAAAGUUACCUAAAAGACGAUGUUUUAAAUUCAAUAAAAUAAGGGUUAUCCCUAUAAACAUGUUGUAAUAAGAAUCUUGGGUUUUACCCAUGUGAUUAUAAAAAUAAAAUAUGGUGGUUUUACUCUGAUAAAAUAUUUCCUAACUAUGGUCCUGAUGAAAUUUCCGCUGCCAAAAUAAUUAAACAUACGGAUACCACCGACACUGGCUCGCGGCCGCCCGUUCCCGGGAAUUAGGAUCGGGGGUUGUGACAGAAGGUGGUAUCAGAGCCUAGCCACUGGUUCAAGCCAAAGAAGUGUUCUGCUGACACUUAAAUUUUAAUUCUGUGUUAGGAAAUAACUUAUGUGAUUAUGUCUACCGGUAUGGGGAUUUUAUACAUUACUUGA
rnacentral:lncRNA from 1 species